rnacentral:ncRNA from 1 species
ACCCAUAGGGGUGCUCUUAUGUUGCUCACAAUGAGCGCAAAGACGCUGAGAACAUACCCUCAAAACUUGAUCCAGGUAAUGCUGGCGAAAGGAGAAAAA